rfam:Triticum aestivum genome assembly, contig: Triticum_aestivum_CS42_TGACv1_scaffold_249524_3DL
AUUAUACUCCCUUCGUCCGGAAAUACUUGUCCAAGAAAUGGAUGUAUCUAGAUGUAUUUUAGUUCUAGAUACACCCAUUUGUACCCAUUUCUGCGACAAGUAUUUCCGGACGCAGGGAGUAUUAA